AUUGAACGCUGGCGGCAAGCCUCACACAUGCAAGUCGAACGAGUGGCGGACGGGUGAGUAAUGUCUGGGAAACUGCCUGAUGGAGGGGGAUAACCACUGGAAACGGUAGCUAAUACCGCAUACCAUCGGAUGUGCCCAGAUGUGAUGAGCUAGUAGGUGGGGUAAAGGCUCACCUAGGCGACGAUCCAUAGCUGGUCUGAGAGGAUGACCAGCCACACUGGGACUGAGACACGGCCCAGACGCCUACGGGAGGCAGCAGUGGGGAAUAUUGGACAAUGGGCGCAAGCCUGAUGCAGCCAUGCCGCGUGUAUGAAGAAGGCCUUCGGGUUGUAAAGUACUUUCAGUGGGGAGGCGUUACCCGCAGAAGAAGCACCGGCUAACUCCGUGCCAGCAGCCGCGGUAAUAC
rnacentral:rRNA from 1 species